rnacentral:rRNA from 1 species
GCGAUAAAUCAUUCAAGUUUCUGCCCUAUCAGCUUUGGAUGGUAGUGUAUUGGACUACCAUGGCAGUCACGGGUAACGGAGAAUUAGGGUUCGAUUCCGGAGAGGGAGCCCGAGAAACGGCUACCACAUCUACGGAAGGCAGCAGGAGCGAAAAUUGCCCAAUCCCGACACGGGGAGGCAGUGACGAGAAAUAACAACUCUUGGUUAUUCUAAGAAGUGUAAUGAGGAUAAUUUAAAACCCUUACCGAAAGCAAUUGGAGGGCAAGUCUGGUGCCAGCAGCCGCGGUAAUUCCAGCUCCAAUAGCGUAUAUUAAAGUUGUUGCAGUUAAAAAGCUCGUAGUUGAAGUUCUGGCUGCUUGACCCUCGAGCUCUGUAGCCGAGGGCUCAGCAGUCAUCCGCUUGCAAAUAUAUGUUCGCCUUUAACCGGGCGGCUAUAUGAGUAAGCAUUUUGCCUUGAGAAAAACAGAGUGUUCCAGGCAGGUUUGUCCGGAAUGCAUUAGCAUGGAAUAAUAGAAUAUGACUGAAGUCGACUUAUUGGUUUGAGGCUUUAGUAAUGAUUAAUAGGAACAGUCGGGGGGCAUUGGUACUUGUCAGUCAGAGGUGAAAUUCUAGGAUUUGACAAAGACUAACAAAUGCGAAAGCAUUUGCCAAGGAUGUUUUCAUUAAUCAAGAACGAAAGUUAGGGGAUCAAAGACGAUCAGAUACCGUCCUAGUCUUAACUAUAAACUAUACCGACUCGGAUUCAGAUGAAUCAUAAAGUUCAUUUGGGACCGUAGGAGAAAUCAAAGUUUUUGGGUUCUGGGGGAAGUAUGGUCGCAAGGCUGAAACUUAAAGGAUUUGACGGUUUUGCACCACCAUGGAGUGGAGUCUGCGGCUUAAUUUGACCCAACACUGGGAAACUCAUCAGGGCAAGAAGAUUGUAGGAUUGACAGAUUGAGAGUUCUUUCUUGAUUGGUCUAGUGAUGGUGCAUGGCCGUUCUUAGUUGGUGGAGUGAUUUGUCUGGUUAAUUCCGUUAACGAACGAGACCUUAACCUGCUAACUAGUACACCGAUGACAAAUCGGUGAUACUUCUUAGAGGGACUAUGUGAUGUAAUCACAUGGAAGUUUGAGGCAAUAACAGGUCUGUGAUGCCCUUAGAUGUCCUGAGCUGCACGCGUACUACAAUGGUGCUUUCAUCGAGCUUUUCCUGAUCCGAAAGGAUUUGGGUAGUCUUUUUAGUGAGCACCGUGCUUGGGAUAGAUCUUUGUAAUUAUGGAUCUUGAACUAGGAAUUCCUAGUAAGCACGUGUCAUCAGCA